CCGGGAGCCCCAGACGCGCCGCGCCGGAGCCGAGACGGCCCGCGAGCUGGCGGCCGGGCUUCGGGGCGGGCGGGCCUUCGCCUCCGCCUGGUCACCUGCGGGGCCGCGUCAGCGAUGUGACCUCCCUGGGCUCCUCAGCGCGACUCCACCCUGCAGCGACUCCGUCUCAGUCCGGUGUCCCCCAGGGGAUCUAAGAGGCUGGAACCCCCAACGCUGCUUGGACUGCAGCAGGCGCUUCGGGCCCAGCCAAGGAGCCCGGGGCAUGGACAGUGAUGGAAACUUGCUAAGAGGAGACACAGAGGAUGAGAAAAUCAGACUGUGGAGUAAUAAGGAAUUUGUCCCAAAGCACACAGACCGUCAGUGGCAG
ensembl:lncRNA